rnacentral:misc_RNA from 1 species
GCUCCUACCGAUUGAAUGGUCCGGUGAAAUCUUCGGAUUGUUAACUUGCAUUACUUUUUCCUUUUGAUUCGUCAUUGGGAAGGAGUAACGUUGAUGAGAAGUUGCUUAAACCUUACCAUUUAGAGGAAGGAGAAGUCGUAACAAGGUCUCCGUAGGUGAACCUGCAGAAGGAUCAAGAUCGCAAUAUCGUCGUGUAGGGUAAGAGUGUAGAUCUCGUUGUUCUCCGUAUCAUUAAAAAAACACUACUUUUUUACUCCUCUCUUAUCCCUCUUUUCUU